UUUUCAUCAGCUUUUUCUUUCUUUCUCUUUCUCUCUUUCUCUCUUUCUCUCUUUCUCUCUUUCUUUCUUUCUUUCCUUCUUUCUUUCUUUCCUUCUUUCUCUCUUUCCUUCUUUCCUUCUUUCUCUCUUUCUCUCUUUCUCUCUUUCUCUCUUUCUCUCUUUCUCUCUUUCUCUCUUUCUUUCCUUCUUUCUUUCUUUCCUUCUUUCUCUCUUUCCUUCUUUCCUUCUUUCUCUCUUUCUCUCUUUCUCUCUUUCUCUCUUUCUUUCUUUCUUUCCUUCUUUCUUUCUUUCCUUCUUUCUCUCUUUCCUUCUUUCCUUCUUUCUCUCUUUCUCUCUUUCCUUCUUUCUUUCUUUCUUUCUUUCUUUCAUUCUUUCUUUCCUUCUUUCUUUCUUUCCUUCUUUCUCUCUCUCUUUCCUUCUUUCCUUCUUUCCUUCUUUCCUUCUUUCCUUCUUUCCUUCUUUCUCCCUCUCUUUUUGGCCUUCUAUUUGGACCAGGUUCAAAACAGUUUUCCAAAUACUGAAGAUUCAGUUGCAAAUUGAGCAAAAAGCCCCCAAAUCUCCAGCACUGCUUUCUAGAGUGAGUUUUGAUGUGAAAAAACCUACUCCUCUCCCACCACUGCUCUGUGCUCCUGUUCCAGCAGCCUGUCAGGACCCCCCCCUCACAAGGAUUUUUAAUAACCUGAGCAAAGUAAAUUAGCUGAGAUGGAGUGAUUCUGUACUCAGCAGGAUCGCAGCCCAAUGUUUCUCCAAUAAAAGUCCUCGCGUUAGAAAACCGUCAUGCAAUUUCACAGACCUUUACAGCAAACCCUUCAGGCGUAUAGCAGUCCCAAAUUUCACCCAGUGACCAGACUUACAUAUUGACAAAGCCCUUUCUUUUGCUCUGUGCUAUUCAUUGGAAUGGUACUUCAAAGACCGCAGGUCUGCAGAGAAGAAAGGGACAUUUUCUUUUGACCGUCUAUUAACAUAAAUGAAAGCCCUUUGAAAAGAUGUGAGCUCUAGAAGGCUGCUGUAUGCUUUUCACAAACUGCCUGCAGUGAGAAAGAAACCAGGCAAAGCCAUUCUGCCACCUCCCAGUUUCCUUAAUGCUGACUUAGAGAACCUGACGUUGGAAGCGCUCACAAAGAGACCAGAAAUAAUUGUGUGUUAGCCACCAAAUUCUUGCAAGGUAUGUGUCAGCUCAGGCUCUGAGGGGUCUCCUGGGGGGCUGAACCUGCUGGUCUCUGGAAUCCCUAAAUUGGGUGUUGAGAAGAGGGAUUUCUUCCAGUAGAUCGCUGACCUGCGGUGGCUAUUAUGUAUAUGCAUGGUUUAUAAAGAAAGAAAAUGGUGACAUGUCUUCAAUCAUCCUAUGCAGGACACUGCAUGUGCAAGAAGUAUCUAUACAGAUUAAAAGCGAACUAAAUUUAGACAUAAAAACUGCACAUGAAGGCCUGCGAUGAGCAGACAAAUGCACUUUUUCUGGUGAGAUUACCAACAAAUGGCUGAACGGGAGCGUGGGGCAGGGAGCCCUAAGGCAGCACUCACCCAGUCCCAACACCAGAAGGGUAAAUGGGCCCCACACUGGGAUUGGACAUGGGGCACAUCGCUGAACACUGAAGCAAAAGGAAAGCAAUGCACAGCUCCCUUAUUUUAAGGACCUGUCAUAGAAUGAAACAAAACACAGUUUAUGCCUUCCUUAAUACCUGAGACAGGAAUGAGAGGCACUUGCUGUCAACCUCCACCUCCAAGCAUUUGUAGAACAGCUCAUUUGCAGCUAGCACAGGCAGAAUGGUGAUAGGGAACUUGCUGUCUUUGAUGCCAUCUACUGGGAAGGUGGCUCCAAUGGCCAGAACAUGGCCUGGGAUGGGCUGCUCCAUUGGAGAACACGAUCUAUUGCUGAGAUGCAGAGUCAGAGGCUGCAGACAGGAUGUGGGGAGCUCUGCUGGGACCACAGACUUCACAGAGCACAGCUGAGGUGUUCAAAGGCAUCAGCAGAAAUCACAGGGACACGCUGCCAUCUGCUUCGCUGGAGUGAUGCUGGGCCAGGGAGCACGGUGGUCUCCCAAGCCUGCAGAUGUCCACGAAAAGAGGCAGGAGGCAAGAGUGCAAGGAAUAAACAGUGCCAUGGGAAAGGGGGAUGUGCAAGAGGGAGGCCCUGAGUGUAAAGUUCAAGCUACAGGUGAUGAUGGUCCUGCUAAGAAAGGAAAGGAGGGGCAGAGCAGUCUUUUAAGGGAGGCAGUGCCUCCUCACUUCCAGCUACAGCCCAGUACAGGCAAGUCUCUGAAAUGAGACAAAGCUGAGCCACUGCCUCAUGGACAACAAGAGAAGAGAGAUUUUGACGGUGCCAAAUCCCAGGCCCCUGGGAUUUUAACAUGAGAAUGGAUCAGCCUUCAGCGAAUCACUCAUUAUCACAUCAUCAGUACUACAUAGGUCUUCCUCCCCACCCACUCAUGUUCAGAGCUUACUACAGGAAAAGCAAGAUUGAUUUACCUGUUUAUUUCACAUCUCAGCUUUCUGACGCUGGCAGCAUGGAGGAUACCUCUCUGCCAGGCAGAGAAACAACUCCGGGGUAGCUGGUUGAGUCCCAGCUAUUUUAGGAAGGUGUUAAUGACCAUAGAAUCAUAAAAUGGCCUGGGUUGAAAAGGACCACAGUGACCAUCUCAUUUCAACCCCCUGCUAUGUGCAGGGUCACCAACCAGCAGACCAGGCUGCCCAGAGCCACAUCCAGCCUGGCCUUGAAUGCCUGCAGGGAUGGGGCAUCCACAGCCUCCUUCCCACAUUUAAUCUCCUGGGGUGGAUGGUGGGCAUGUGUGGUUUUUUGUGCCGUUUUAUGAAGAAUCCCAGCAGAUAAGACCAAGACUGGCCUCGCUUGUUUUUUUUUUCCCCCAUCCCAGUUAGAAUGAUUUACAGAUGGGAAAUCCCUGCCAAACAUCCCAGCUCCACAGCGCAUUCUGGCUCUGGCUGUGGAGUCAGAACUGACUUGGAAAGCUGGCACAGCAAUCUUGGUAGAAAGGACACUUCUCCCACACUCUGCUCGGAAACCAGCCCAGCACAUAUCAGCAACCACGUGGCUUUCUGCAGAGAGCAGCCUGUUUCCUCCCUAAGACAAUGGCCAUGUACAGAGCACACCCUGCCCCUGGGUGUCACACCUGCCUUGAGUCCUCCGCAGCCAUGUAGUGCUGUGCUUAUACAAAGCUGCUCUUCCUGAUGCCGUACAAAAGAUAUGGGAAGUAAAGAGAGAAAAAGAACUACCCAGGGGAAGCAGUAACGUCGACGGCAAACAAAAUGCAGCUGGUAUGCAAUGGAACAUCAAAGCUCAGCACAGAUAAACCAGAGAAUCAACUUUUCUUGUACCUCCUGCAAAUACACAAACCUUCCAUGCUGUUUGUAAGGGCAGCAAGCUGAAUGAGACAGAUAUCUCUGAUCACACACACACAGUCACACUUGUUGGCCCAUGCAUUACCUUACCAACAGCUUGUUCCUUAUUGCUAUUCAUUGCCUGCACACGGCUUGCACAGACAGCAGAAUCAACAGUCUCCAAAGGGAAUAAUAAACGUGCCUGAGAAAGCCACUUAUUUGGAAAUAAACCCCCUUAAAACAACAGCAGUCGCUGGGAACUCAUCUGGGAUUCGCAUGGUCCAGGGCCAGGACCCAGCUCCACAAGGGACACCCACAGCUGGAUUCAGGGGGUUCUCUGCCAUGUGCCACCAAAGGGACGUUGCUGGCACCGGGUCCUGCGGCAGCAGGGUGGGCUCAGGGCACCGUCAUGCUCUUGUGCAGCCUCAGGCUUUGGCAUGGGUCCCGUGGAUAAAGAACCCAACAAAUAUAGACAGGGAUCCGGGGCAAAGACGGAGAAUGGGAUAAUAGCAUGAGGAAAAUGAAAGGAUGAGCAAAGAUUGAGUGCAUCUCAGAUACAGUAUGAGGAGGGGUCAGUCAAGAUAAGAAAAGGCAAGUUUGGUGUUUUCUGUUCACAGGGCCACAUGUACCUUUGUGUAACAGCUUAUGCUGCCUUUAGUGCUACCCCGGUGUUUGCAGCGGGGGUCUGGGCUGACUCUUGCAAACAAAUGGGAUUGAUUAAAUUCUACCACGCUCUCACAGAUUUCAGCAGGCAUGUCCUAUAUGUUUGCUAUGCAGAGACCUGGCCAAAUUCCCUGCAGAGUAAUAGCUAUGGAAAACUGUUGGUUUACCGCCUGUUCAAUCCUCUAGAAGUUUCCAAUAAAGACAGCAGCUCCUGGAUUUGCUUGGCAAUCAGCCAUAUCUCCACAGUUGUUGAACCCCUCCAGGGACGGCGGCUGCCCCACCUCCCCAGGCAGCCUUUCCGAUGCCUCACCACCCUUUCUGAGAAUUUUUGCCUAAUAUCCUGCCCCAGCACCAGCUGGGCCUGCCAGCACUCCUCUGGGCUGGGGGUACCCGCCUCAACUCGGACCCCUGAGCAACAUGGGCUGCCCAUUGAAGCUCACUGCUGCUCCAGCCCCCAGCUGCAAAGCUGCCCUGCAUGGCCGUGCGGUGACGUGCAGCCACGCAGGGAUAGGGCAAACACAGCAGCAGGGAGCCCAGCCGCAGGAACUGGCCACAGCAAAGCCAUUUAUCCGUUUCCACCAGAUCCAGUCGCUCUCUUUGAUCCAGGAAGCAUCUGUCUGGAUGGAACUGUGCUCUGCGUUAUGAUUCAGCGUGGCUGAAAGCAAUCCCAGGUCUCAAAAACAGCCCUGCUUCUUCUGCCUGGGGCGCGCGAUGCUGCAGCAGUAACCACGGAACAGGAAGGAUGUGACAGCCGUGGGAUCUUUGGGACUUUGCUCAGUUCCUUGGGACCUGUGGGUAAGGCUCCCAGCUGCCCUCAGCCAGAGCAAACACCACCCAACGCCACAGCCAAAUUCUGUACCUUUGAGGGGUGACCAGGAUGGGCAGCUGAGCCCAGGACCACAGGACCGUGAAGGUGCUGCUGCAGCAAACGGGGCACUGAGGCUUUCUGACACACGGGGCUCAAACCCUCCCUGCUCUCCUGCCACCUCAAUCCACCCCACUUAGCGCUCCCUUCUGGAGCUUCUGGCCUCAAGGGUGACAGUGCAGGAGUGGCAGUGGCAGUGCACCCCUCCUGCGUGCUCCUAUAGGAAUGCACAGCUCAGGAAAGCCACCGCGCCUGCUCACACAGCCCAAGCUCAUUCCUGGCUCUGCUUUCAACAGUGGCCAGCUUCUGACAGCGGCUGAGAAGCAAAAUGUGGGAGAUUUUAUAUUAGAAUUCGUGCCCUGAAGGAAAAUUUCCUUUUGAAUUUUAUGAGUGGGAAUUUGGCUUGUGUCUGGAAGCACAAAGGCUUACAUUGCUACCAAACCCUUUGGACUGAAAUCCUGACUCCAGAGGAUUCAAAGGAAAUUCUCCUUCUGUCUUCUUUGGAGCAGCGUUUUCUUUUAGGUUUGUUGUUUGUGUGAGUGUCCUUAUAACAACCCUAAAACCCCCAAAUGCUUUAGAGCUGAGCAGGACAUGAAGGCUCUGCAUUUACGCUCCUGCAAGGCAUGCUGGGCUGGAAAAGACUGUUACUCUCGUGGUAAUAAAAGCGUAAACACUCAGCCAAAAGGCACAGAGCUCAUAAACCCACAAAAGCAGGCAGGCCCAGCAAUUAGGAACUUGCUACAAAAGAGACCUGCAACAAUUAUUAAACCCCAGUCCAGGCAUUUUCCUCUAAUACAAAACGAUGGCAGCAAAAGGGCUUCCAGGCCCACAGCUCUGCUCCUUUGUCCAUCUUCAUUUUCACGGCUGCUGGAUAACCUCUUUCUUGUCAUUAUUUAACAAAACCUACACGGUUCCAAAGUGAUUUUCCCCCCUGUGCUGCUACUCCAGUUUCCAGCAGAGGUUUCCAGUUGCAGUGGGGGAUACCCAUGGCUUGCAUAAAGAAGCUGCAGUCAGCCCUCCCAUUCGGAAACGCAUUUGCUACUGCGAUGCUUCCUUGCAUGGCGUGUUUCUGAGCACAUGCUGCCUCUCCUCACACAGACAUACAUGAAGGAGAAAACGCAAUGAUAAACUGGAAAGAGAGCAAAUAGGAAGGUGGGACAGGAGGUGCUUUGCUUGCUUCCCACCUGCCAUGAAGGGCAGGUAUUGCUUGCCUGCAAAACAAGUGGCAGAAGAGCAUCCUGAGCUCCUCAGCCUGAUUUGGGCUGCUGCCUCACCAGGCCUCCGCACUGCUCCUGUUUGCAUUCCCUGUUCCCACGGCCCUGAGCAGUGACAGUGAGAAAACCCAGAGCAGCCCACGGGCUGUGCGGAUGAUCUCUGAAGUAUUUACAUGACUGAACUGCACCUCCAUAAAUCUGGCCGAUUCUCUGACACAGGAAAGGGCCCGGGGUGUUAAAUAAAUAGGCAGUAAAUUUCAGAGGAUUUGGUAAAAUGAGAGUUGUCGUUACUUUCCCAUUCCAAGAAGACUGAUCUUGGUUAUAAUUAUCCCAGCUACAUCCACUCUUUCCAACGGCCCGAGCUGAUAAAUGAAGCGUUUGCUCUCACGAAUGCCUCUCCUUCCCCUGAUGUGUGCAAUGUGUUCCAGAUGGGUGGAGAAAUCAUUCUUUUCUCCUACACUUGCUGAGCUAUUUCCGAGCACCCACAGCACCAGCAGGUGUAAAUCAGCAGCACUCCGUCUAACUCCGACGCCCCACAUCCUCACCUGCUGGAAAGAGCAGCCCUGAACUUAAAACAGCGUACAGCACAUAGGUGUCACCACAAGCAAUGUCGAGUGGAUGGCUGCUCUAGGGGAAAAAAAAAAGCCCAUCAGAUAAACACAGAAGGUGGUAAUUGCACGGGUCUCUUUGGGCAGGCGAUGCUGCUGCUGCCUGCCGGCUUCGUGCUGCUCCUGGAAAUAGCCACUUUAAUUAGGCUGAUUUAAAUGCAGAUAAGUUUUUCUUUCAGCCGAAGUCUUUGUACCCGUUUUGUGUGCACGGGGGUAAGCCUCGGAGUCCUCAGCCAGAAAGUGUCCUUUUGCUCCUCUGCUGGGUGCCAAGCGCUUGCCACUCUCUUCAGCAGGGAGCAGAGGAGCCCAUUGAUGCCGACCACUGUGCUUAGCUCCGCAGAGAACACAGUCCUCUGAAUUCAGCCCCUCUGAGGAGGGACCUCACCACCAGGUUAAGAACAAUCGGAGAAGAACAGCCCGGCAGGACCCAGCCCAGGGUGUGGGAAGCCGGCUGCUCAGGGGAGGAGAGUGGUACCUCUGAGGCUGGUGAGCAGCAGGAGACAGAGAUGCUUUGGGCAUCAGAAACAUUAGCACACACUGUCUGUCUGCAGCACUCAAAUGCUCCUCAGGACGCACUGAUCUCUUGAGUGCCUGCCUGGGCACAGCCAGGACCUCAUCUGCAGGAGUGCUGAGCCCACACAGCUGCCCCUGCAGCGGCUGCAAGCUGCCUUUGGAACACGUUUCCAUGCAAUGCUCGAGUACUUGCAAGCUAAGCAUAUGAGCGAUUGACCCUUUGGACAGAGUUAGUUCUAACCUCCGCGCCUCUCCUCCCUGUGUGCAAAGCAAACACAGUGUCCGAAUAUUGCUUGGCAAUCUGUACUGCCUCUGGUUUGGGGCAGGGAAAGUGCAGGCAGGCUGCACAGGGACGUGUGUUCAAGAGACACAGAUCCUGACUUUGUGCACACAAGUGCAGCUUUGUACAUAGCUUUGCACAUGAUGGAACUCAGGGACUGCUGAGAGCAGGGCUGGUUAAUGAUGGCAAAGGUUCUUUUCAAAGCAAAAGUCCAUUUGCUGCGGUGAAAGUGGACUCCCCACAUCUCCAUAGAGUUUUAAGAUAAGAAGUGUCAUCUUUAAAGAUGAGUGCUUGCUGGAACAUCUCAACUGGCAAGGAAAAAUAAAGAGCUCUGCCUACAAGAAGAAAAGCCAGCUCUUCUAUUGUGUGCACUGCUUUCAUUUAUGUCAGCUCCAUUAAUGCCCCGUGAAGCCACGGGUCUGUAAUCGAGCAGCUGACCUACAGCAGCACUGGCAUUCGCUGCUGUCUUACACCAGAUUUACUCCAGCUGUUAAGGUUUAAGGCCUCGCCUUUCACACGGUUCCCCUUAAUAAAUUGUACCAGACAUCAGCAGCUAAGAAGUUUUACAGUCGAGUUGCAAAUCGAGACUGGUCUCUCAGAUGAAGAGGACAUCAGCUCCUCAUACUGUGUUUACAAGCAACAGUAGUUCUUUCAGCAUCAUUUGGGACUCUGAGACCAAACACUGCCCAUGGUGGUGCUCCGGGCAUCUUUGCUAUAACAGCAUUAUAAAUAUGUAAUGAGAAUUUAAAAGGCAGAAGGCAAACAGAUAAUGGAGGCACCCAACAUAAACAUCACAUUUAACUCUCACCACCUGAAAAGAGCUACAAAUUCCAGCGUGCACUCACCAACACCUGGCAGAAUCCAGACACAAAAGGAUGGGGACUUUCAGAGGACAGCUGCCUACUGCGUCUCUUAUAUAUAGCCAUUUUUAAAGGGGACCAAGAAACGUAGCACAUAAAAAUGAGGAGCUGUGUUCAAGCAAUUAGGAUUUAGAACACCAAUAGUGAGGUCAUUGAUGCUGCUGCACCAGAGAUUUUGCUGAAAUCCCUACAAGUUGGCCUGGGUGAAGCUGCUUGUGAACAUCCCAGUGCUGAAAUCAGGGGAGGUCACUCAGCACCUGGCUGUCUCAGACAUCCCUGUGCUAAGCAGAGUGCUCCCACAGGCAGUGGGAAUCACUGCGGAUGGGGGUGGACCUCUUUUGCAUGGACCUCGGACUCCUUCAUGAGCAGGGCUUGGAUGAGACGGACCCAGAGGUCCCCAACAACCUCAGCCAUGCUGGGAUUCUGUUAAUGGUCCAGAGAACAACCCUUCUUUUUACUCCUCUCAUCCUCCCUUGUGAUACACACAGAUGAAGCUUCCCAAACGCUUCUCUGACACGCAGUCUCCACCCUCCCCCUCCGUUUUCAGCCCUUUCCUUCCCACUGCCUCCUUCCUUUGAGUCACAGUCACGUCGGAUGUGCUGCCUGAUUAUCAGUUGCACCAGCAUUUAGAGCUCCCUCGUGGAAAGCAGCGUUUUGAAAGCUUUUCCAGCUUCUCCUCCAGAUGAUGUCACCCUGGGUGGGUGCCAGGCUGGGUUCAGAGUGAAAAUUCUUCACUUCAGGGUCAGACAUUCUCCUAUUUUUAGGCCCGAUUUCAGUGCCAGGCAGCCAAUAGUGUAGCUGAAUGGCUCGUGUUAUUCAACUGCAAAUGCCUGUUGGAGUCCAAACAAAGCUCCGUUUGUAGCAGGUUAAGGGGCUCUGCAGCCCAGGAACCCCUUUUUGAAGUGUGGCUGCAGCUGCUCUGCUCCACAGCGCUCAGUCAGUCUGCACGGAGGUGCAGAAUACUUCCAGCUCCCACCCUUGAUAAACUGCAAUUGUAAAAGCAGAACAAAGGGGUUGGAUUCUAUCUGGGUCUCUGUAAUCUUCCGGCUGCAUUCUGUUCCUUGCUCCAGUCCUCUGGAGGUG